rnacentral:rRNA from 1 species
AUUGAACGCUGGCGGAAUGCUUUACACAUGCAAGUCGAACGGCAGCACGGACUUCGGUCUGGUGGCGAGUGGCGAACGGGUGAGUAAUGUAUCGGAACGUGCCCAGUCGUGGGGGAUAACGUAGUGAAAAUUACGCUAAUACCGCAUACGAUCUAUGGAUGAAAGCGGGGGAUCGCAAGACCUCGCGCGAUUGGAGCGGCCGAUAUCAGAUUAGGUAGUUGGUGGGGUAAAGGCCCACCAAGCCAACGUCCUGUAGCUGGUCUGAGAGGACGACCAGCCACAAUGGAACUGAGACACGGUCCAGACUCCUACGGGAGGCAGCAGUGGGGAAUUUUGGACAAUGGGCGAAAGCCUGAUCCAGCCAUUCCGCGUGCAGGAUGAAGGCCCUCGGGUUGUAAACUGCUUUUGUACAGAACGAAAAGGUUUCUACUAAUACUAGGAGCUCAUGACGGUACUGUAAGAAUAAGCACCGGCUAACUACGUGCCAGCAGCCGCAGUAA